CCAAAUCAACUAGUCAUCAAUAUUCUCAUAGACAGCCUUUAUUGCAAUCCACCAAAACUCGGCAUUUCUUUUUAGCAUAGGUAUGGCUAAUUUAACCUUCACCUUCUCGAGAUACUGUAGGGCAUCGAACAUCGAAUCCAGAUCUCUGCAACUAGAGGAUCAGAUCCACCCUCAAACAGUGGUGGAUUAAGCCUUCUAAAUCUCUCAUAAUAUGACUCUAAUGAUGGUGUAGGUUGAGGAGCAGUUUGUGUCUGCUAUUGUUACUGAAUAAGCUAAGCCACAACUUGGCAUACUCCAGCAAUAUCUGCCUGAGUGGCUGGUGCAUUAGAAGCAUGCUCAACGGACUGGUUGGCAUCUAUCCUCGUAGUUUUUCUUACUCCUCUCUUUCUACUGACAGGAUUCAUUGAGACUUCAUUCUCUCUGUUACUCAUUGUCACCUAAAAAUACUAGCAUUAAUUAACUUCCUUAAAUGAGUAACAGGAACUUUAAGAAAAAUUUAUCUAUUCU
rnacentral:lncRNA from 1 species